ACGCGGCAACCCUGUCUGAACAAACGCUGACCGCAGCCGCCAGCGGCACGCAGGCCUGAGCGUGCACAGGAAAAUGUCCGCGAUGACCACGGUCGUGUGCACAGGAAACGUCCGUGACGACCACCGAGCUCAGAGGGCAGCGGCCACUGCAGGGACUCUCCUUAUCCCUUGCCUCUGAACGUUAAAAACAAAAAACUGCCGAGCAGGAUGGAGCCUUUGGGGGCCCAAAGUCCCUCCCACUGCUCGGCAGGCCUGGAAGGCCCCGCCCACCCAGCCUCAGUGCCAGGCCGGCACCUGCAGACACGGCUCCCUGGCGGAGGGCACCUCGAUGCUGCAGGGAAGCCGAUGUGGGGCGGCCAGAGGCACCGGACAUCACGCCAAACAGCGGGAGCACUGCAGACUCCCCCCUCCCCCGGGCCACCACUGACAGGCCGGGACAAGAGGGGACGUACUCGGAGAAGAGGCCUGGCAUGAGGCGCCCAGCUCUGCAGAGGGACACCCCACAGGAGACACCGGUCAGUCUGUGGGCAGCAAGGGCACCCCAAGGCCGGGAGCCCUGCAUGAGGAAGACACGCCCCGCGAGCCGGCACAGGACUGCCCACAGCCCUGAUCCCAUCUGCCAGGUCUAGGAUGCCCAGUGCCGGGGGCCCGUGACCUCUGACCUCACCCAUCUGCACGCCUGCCCCCAAGGCAGACUCGUGAGAAAUGGUGCCUCUGGCACAGGAGGUGCAGCCGCGGCCCUGGGUGCUCACCGGGACAGGCGGAGGUGAGCAUGGGCAGCGCCGGCUCCUCCUCGCUGUGCUGCUGGUACCGGCGCACAAACUCCUUCUGACUCUCCAGGAUGCUGAAGUCCGCGGCUACUGCUGUAUCGAAGACAUAGUGCACCCCUGCAGGAAAGAGGGGGCGCUCAGCUUCUCGUCACCUAUCGGGGGACCGCGGCGAGUCUGCAGACUCCACAGCACCGAGCUCUGCGUCUCCCUCUUACCUCGUCUGUACCACAGACCGCAUAAGCCCAGGACCGUGCCUCACCUUCUUCUUCAAACAACAAACAGGAUCAUUUUUCACAAGAAAAUAUGUAUGUUUUCUCUCUGGCUUGCUCUUGUUCUCUCUAGAUCUACACUGAUGCAAAACCUCACAGUAGCCGUAACGGUAACGUGAGAUUACACGGA